UGGACUAGGCUACAUGAGGUGUGAUACUAACCUUAUAGGACUAUGGGCUGGGCUACAUGAGGUGUGAUACUAACCUUAUAGGACUAUGGACUAGGCUACAUGAGGUGUGAUACUAACCUUAUAGGACUAUGGACUAGGCUACAUGAGGUGUGAUACUAACCUUAUAGGCCUAUGGGCUGGGCUACAUGAGGUGUGAUACUAACCUUAUUAAAACAUACAGGCCUAUGGGCUGGGCUACAUGAGGUGUGAUACUAACCUUAUAGGACUAUGGACUAGGCUACAUGAGGUGUGAUACUAACCUUAUAGGACUAUGGACUAGGCUACAUGAGGUGUGAUACUAACCUUAUAGGACUAUG